UUCCAGACUCCUACGGGAGGCAGCAGUGGGGAAUAUUGCACAAUGGGGGAAACCCUGAUGCAGCAACGCCGCGUGAGUGAAGAAGUCCUUCGUGAUGUAAAGCUCUAUCAGCAGGGAAGAAAAUGACGGUACCUGAGUAAGAAGCCCCGGCUAACUACGUGCCAGCAGCCGCGGUAAUACGUAGGGGGCAAGCGUUAUCCGGAUUUACUGGGUGUAAAGGGGGCGCAGACGGCAGCGCAAGCCAGAUGUGAAAGCCCGGGGCUCAACCCCGGGACUGCAUUUGGAACUGCGUGGCUUGAGUGUCGGAGAGGCAGGCGGAAUUCCUAGUGUAGCGGUGAAAUGCGUAGAUAUUAGGAGGAACACCGGUGGCGAAGGCGGCCUGCUGGACUGCGACUGACGUUGAGGCCCGAAAGCGUGGGGAGCAAACAGGAUUAGAUACCCCCGUA
rnacentral:rRNA from 1 species